rnacentral:rRNA from 1 species
UACGUAGGGUGCGAGCGUUGUCCGGAAUUAUUGGGCGUAAAGAGCUCGUAGGCGGUGUGUCGCGUCGGUCGUGAAAACUUGGGGCUUAACUCUGAGCUUGCGGUCGAUACGGGCAUCACUGGAGUUCGGCAGGGGAGACUGGAAUUCCUGGUGUAGCGGUGAAAUGCGCAGAUAUCAGGAGGAACACCGGUGGCGAAGGCGGGUCUCUGGGCAGUAACUGACGCUGGAGGAGCG